ACGCUCGACACCUACGGGGGCAGCAGUGGGGAAUAUUGCACAAUGGGGGAAACCCUGAUGCAGCGACGCCGCGUGAGCGAAGAAGUAUUUCGGUAUGUAAAGCUCUAUCAGCAGGGAAGAAGAAAGACGGUACCUGACUAAGAAGCCCCGGCUAACUACGCGCCAGCAGCCGCGGUAAUCUGAGCGGGCUGGCAAGGC
rnacentral:rRNA from 1 species